GACGAACGCUGGCGGCGUGCUUAACACAUGCAAGUCGAACGGAAAGGCCCUGCUUUUGUGGGGUGCUCGAGUGGCGAACGGGUGAGUAACACGUGAGUAACCUGCCCUUGACUUUGGGAUAACUUCAGGAAACUGGGGCUAAUACCGGAUAGGAGCUCCUGCUGCAUGAUGGGGGUUGGAAAGUUUCGGCGGUUGGGGAUGGACUCGCGGCUUAUCAGCUUGUUGGUGGGGUAGUGGCUUACCAAGGCUUUGACGGGUAGCCGGCCUGAGAGGGUGACCGGCCACAUUGGGACUGAGAUACGGCCCAGACUCCUACGGGAGGCAGCAGUGGGGAAUAUUGCACAAUGGGCGGAAGCCUGAUGCAGCAACGCCGCGUGCGGGAUGACGGCCUUCGGGUUGUAAACCGCUUUCGCCUGUGACGAAGCGUGAGUGACGGUAAUGGGUAAAGAAGCACCGGCUAACUACGUG
rnacentral:rRNA from 1 species